rnacentral:rRNA from 1 species
AUUGAACGCUGGCGGCAUGCUUUACACUUGCAAGUCGAACGGUAACAGGCCGCAAGGUGCUGACGAGUGGCGAACGGGUGAGUAAUGCAUCGGAACGUGCCCAGUCGUGGGGGAUAACUACUCGAAAGAGUAGCUAAUACCGCAUACGAUCUAUGGAUGAAAGCGGGGGACCGUAAGGCCUCGCGCGAUUGGAGCGGCCGAUGUCAGAUUAGGUAGUUGGUGGGGUAAAGGCUCACCAAGCCAACGAUCUGUAGCUGGUCUGAGAGGACGACCAGCCACACUGGGACUGAGACACGGCCCAGACUCCUACGGGAGGCAGCAGUGGGGAAUUUUGGACAAUGGGCGCAAGCCUGAUCCAGCAAUGCCGCGUGCAGGAAGAAGGCCUUCGGGUUGUAAACUGCUUUUGUACGGAACGAAACGGCUCUGGUUAAUACCCGGGGCUAAUGACGGUACCGGAAGAAUAAGCACCGGCUAACUACGUG